rnacentral:lncRNA from 1 species
UGCCAUCCAUCGGCAUGUUUGAGACGAGAAGCUCCCAUCAGCGUGACAUCGUCUGAGAUAAGCUAGCUUAUGGAAGUAGGUAAGCUCCCUAAACAGAAUUAUUCCUUUUUUUAAAAAAAAACUCAACUCGACUGAACUCAGGCCAUAGAAUACAAAGCAACAGUAUUGUAAUCUUAUCCCCACCCUAGGAAUCCCUCUCGCUCGGGGCACAACAUGCACGAUAUGAUCG